rnacentral:lncRNA from 1 species
UUCAAAACAAAAACCAUUAUCCAAAACCCUAAUUUAUCUACCUCCACCACCAAUCUUCUGUACCGCCGUAUUCAAUCUUCAUCAGAUUUGCAAUCUAAUUCAACUGGUUAUAGGGUUCAAUAAUUAAUAAGCCUAUUACUAGGGAAUGCAGAUCCAAAAUCCGCCUCACUUUUAUCUUUUAACCCUUUUUCGCUUCCUCUUCUAUCUGUUUCUUUCUCUUUCCAAAACACCACCACCAUCUGUGAUUCUUUAGGGUUUGCAAUUUGGUGCUUUAUGAAUUUCUUUGUGCAAAGGGGAGUAAAUAAAGAGACGCAAUCAUUUGAAAAUCCAGUUUGAUUUGGGUUCUUCUCAAGAGUUACAAAGAUGCUUAUAUUGACAGUGGUUCUUGAAGUUCUUGGUUUAUGUUGGAUGUCGCCAAGGGGGAGGAGAUUCUUGGUCGAAUCAAACAGAAUAUGUUUUCUAUAGAUUGUGGAUGAUUGGGUGAAACAACUUAUUCGUAUCUCGGUGUACAAAAAUAAGAUGGUUGAAGAUGAAUAUGUGGUCGGUCAUAUAUACUUUUGGUUCACAUGAGCUUGGGCAAGUCUUAGUAAAGAUUAAAGAAUAAGGGGCUGUUUGGUAGUCUCUUAAUAACCAUUCAGAUGCUACAUCUUAAUGGUUUAGAACCUCUGAAUGAAUAAGAGGUAACCUCAAGUCUGAAUGGUUAAGAGCCUCUUAAUGACCAUUCAGAGGCUACCAAACAGCCACUAAAAGUAAAUAACUGGUGAGGACUUUAGUCUUUAAUAAAUUGGUUGUGUAAUCUCUAAAUUCGAAUGGUAGGUUCAUGGUCCUAGGGUAGAUAUUGACACCUUAUGUGUGGGGCCUUCUUAUGUGAAUCGAGAUGUAAGAUAUUUGUAAAAUUAAGAGAUUGUUUUUCAUGCAUACAGUCAUAACUCGCGCCACGCGCCACAUAUUUGAUAUUUAUCAGGAGGAUUUUUUUCUUUGUUUUGCACGGCAUAUUAGUCCCCACAAAACACCUUCACUGAGCGGCAAAACAGGGAUGGCGGCACCUUCACCGAGCGGCAAACCCUCACCCUGCACACUUUCCCCGCUCCACCACGUUCACCCUUAAGUGGAAUGGAGGAAGUUAUUGAACUUCAACUACUUCCAGAUGCUCAUGCUCCAGUCAUGAAGUUCAAGUUUGAUGGAAUAAAUCUCAAAUUAUAGAAUAUAGAUACAAUAUUGGUGGCAUGAUACCUCAAGGCAACACGUGACAUUAGGGGAAACCAACCUGGUGAUUAGAGGUUGAUUUUGAUAUAUUUAUGCAAAAAGGAGCUUUAAAGAGAGUGAAAAAAGUCGAAUCAACAGUCUGUGUAAUGUAAUCUUUAAUACUAUGACUUGGAGAUAAAGUUUUUGCAAGGCCUUUUCUCAUUAUUACAUAUAUCGUAAUAUGUAAUUUAUCAGUGAGAAGUAGUUAUAGAUAAAUGAAUAAUGUGUUCUUUUUAUUUUGUUUUGUUUUUCCUUUAUAAUGACUUUUUCAUUUGUAAACAUACAAUACGUUGACGUUGACAUUUGGGUCAUAUUUACUUUAUUCGAUAUUUAAUAUUUUUCUUCAACCUGUGUAACACACGGGUCAAUAACCUAGUAUAAUAAUACAAUAAUAGAAUAUGUUACUAACAACGAUUAUAAUCUAAUAUAACUAUAUAAAGCAUCUCUGAUGGAUAGAAAUGUAAUUUAACAUCACAUACAAAUUUUAUAACAACAUGUACAAGAAAAUAAAGUAUUUUUAGAGGGGUUAAACAUGUAUUUUGAGGAAAGUUUUAAGACGUCUUGGGGCUAAAAUAGAGAAAUCCUCCUCCCGCAUUUACUAUCCAGGUUACCAUCGUCUCUUCCAAUUUCCAAAUCCCACCACAACCCUAAUUGAAUGUUGCACUUGAAGUGUCGUGCGUUUCCAUCCCACCCACUCAAUUUUAGGUUUAGCGUUUCCUUUAUUAAUUCAAUCAUCCCCUUGAUUUUGAUGUAUUCACUGAGAAGAUUGAAAGAGCAAUCAAGAGCCAAAGAGUCGUCCGAGAGCACCUUCAUCUGUCGUCCUUGGAUUCUUCAAUCUCUGUAAUUUUAUUCUCACCAAGCUGUUUCUUAUAUGUUGUUAUUUGAUUCAGCAAUUAGCAUAUAUGUUUGGGGAUUUUGCCCUUUUCUUCUAUUGUUGAUGAUUUUCUUCGUUAUCCAUACUGUUUACAAUAACUGUAGUUUGCAAUUGAUCAUGAUGAUGAACAAAAGAAACUGUUGAUGUUGAAUGAUGACGAGUCCACACCAAAAGAUAAAGGUUAUGGUUGGGGACCAAAAUAUGGGAAUUAUUGGAUUAAUCAGGUUAGUAUGUCAUAGUAGUUGGUGUUAUGUGCUUGAGAUUUGUUUAUUGUGCAGAAUUUUGCUGGAAAUUUCAGGAUUUUACCGGAAUGUUGUCGAAAUCUAACCAAAAUCCGACUGAAAUCUCGUUUGAAGGUCGCCAGGGAUGAAAUCUAAAACUAGGAAACAACCUUAACACACCAUCUUUUAAAGAAUUCAGUUUCUCCAUAUCCCAAUAAGUCGUUCAACAACAAUUUUCUUUGAAACACAAGAGUUGAUUAAUAAAAUGGAAAUGAAAAUAGUUUCAGUAAUAUGGGAAAAUGUUUAAGAAUCCAUAUUGAAAACGAUGAAACUGUGAUUACUAGGGCUAUUCUCAACAUGCCCAUCACAAGAGCCAGCAUCAUCCGUGAUCCCACUUGAACCAGAAGAAACCUGUAUCAGGUUUGGAGCUGCCUACAUUGGUUGCAGGGUAUGAGAAGAAGCCGAUAUCACAGCUUUGAUCGUCCAUUCAUUUGAAGAAACAUAACAGAAUGAAGGAGGUAUCUUCUUCUAAUCUUGAUGUGUUAAUCAAACACUAAAUUUAAUCAGAAGAAUGGUAAACCCGAAAUAGAUGAAAGGUGGGUAUGAAAAUUAUCUGAUUAACAAACAACACAAUAAGUUGACCCGUCAAUUUGACAAGCCAAAACUGUGUGUGACCGUCUCUGGCCCUCCCCAAUCUGUUUUGUUCCCUGAGCCAGGUGUACACACAUCAUUUGGGUGGUCACAGCUGAACCAAGAAAACUCAAAAAUCAAGAGUUCCCUCAAAUUCGAAUAUAGCCCCUGAUUUCAAUCAAUAUCUUGGUUGAACGGGUCAUACAUCUAUCUUCAAAAUUACUAAUUCUGGUACCAGCAUCAGGUAAGUAUUUUGUGUGCUCAUUAAAAUUUAAACAUUAUACAUAAUUUAAGAAAUUAGAAAAAAAUAUAUAGAUAUAAAAUACAAGAAAGAUUAACGCAUGCAAUUGCAAUGUGAAAGGUUGUAGUCUAUUUUGACCCUCAAUUAUUUCAUGCAUAUGAUAAAAUAGUUGGUAGACAGGGACGCUACCCCUCUAGAUCAACAUAUAUAAAUAACAACUAACAAUAUUUUAAUCUUCAUGUUGUCGUAAUCCUUUAAUUUUGAGAUCCCUCGGACGUGAGAAAACUCAAGUGGAAAUAUAAAGAAGCAUUUACCAAACACGAGAAGGAAAAUAAGCACACAGUUGAAUCAUGGAGAAAAGCACUAGAAAAGGCAAGCAUCAUUUCUAGAAAAGGCAGGUAGCAUUUAUGAGGGGGGAAAUUUUCAAGUUAAUUGUAACUUCAAAUUUGGAUCCGAAAAACAAUAUCUUAGUAUGAAAUUUCAUUAUAAUUUUUGGCAGUCUUAUUGAAUACAAAAAAAAUGUAAACAGGUGCAUGUGAAUUUUAUAUCUUUAACUUUUACGGGACAGAUAAAAUUUUAGUUCAUUUUAUGAAGUUUAUGCAC